rnacentral:rRNA from 1 species
CAGCAGCCGCGGGAAUACGAGGGGGGCAAGCGUUGUUCGGAAUUAUUGGGCGUAAAGGGUGCGUAGGCGGCUUGACAAGUCUUGUGUGAAAUCUAUGGGCUCAACCCAUAGUCUGCACGGGAAACAGUCGGGCUUGAGAAUGGGAGAGGUGAGUGGAAUUUCCGGUGUAGCGGUGAAAUGCGUAGAUAUCGGAAGGAACACCUGUGGCGAAAGCGGCUCACUGGACCAUUUCUGACGCUGAUGCACGAAAGCUAGGGGAGCAAACAGGAUUAGAUACCCCCGUAGUCCCUGUCUCUUAUAC